rnacentral:tRNA from 1 species
AUUGAAAUGUCUGAUUAAAAGUAGUAAACUGUAAAUUUACUUAUGGAUUAUAAAUUCCUUUCAAUA